UUUAUUAAAUUCCAAGUCUGAUGGGCUUCGUUUCUAAUAUGGCCUUAUAUUUGCAGAAUAGGCAAGUUUUGAUAUUAGGGUUAACCAAUUUUCAUCUUCGCCGUUGUUCUUGAUUGAGUCACAGUGUGAGUUCUGUUUACGUUUUUUCGUCUUCUUCCCUACAGUCCUAGGAGCUACCAGUUAUAGAUCCAUCCUCUUAAAUUCCUUCUUAAAUCUUUCUUCCACGAUUCGCCAUGAAUGAGAGCUUUAGUCAUGCAAAGCGGUGGAAUCUAUUUAUAAAAAGACCAGAUGAUGGUCCUCCACCGUUCAUGUGUGGGUGCUCUAUUUCUGGGAGGCCAGAAACGUCCGAUGCGGUGGCAAACUCAUAGGUAUGAGUGGAUGUUCUGCUUCUGGAUUCACAGAUGGAGCAGUAUACAAAGAGAUCUUCAAGGGCCUCAGAGACACAAUGUGGAAGCGGCCAGUGUCUUCUUGAAGAAUUUUAAACUUCGACGCGUAUAUCGUAUUCGAGUGUGCUAAGCAUAAUAUUGAUAACAACUCUACUCCCUCUUUUCUUAUUGUUUUCCAUUAGCUAUUAUGCAGAAAACCAUCAUCUGUCUGGUAACACAUUUGUCAACAUUUCUGUUUUCAUAUUUCAGAAAUUAUUUAUUUCAAAGGUUCAAUUGAUCCAUAUAAUAUAAUAUUAUACUGCCACAUGCAUACUAAAAAACACAUAAAGAAAGCGAAACGUCAUGGUUAACUUGAAUAUUGACAGGUGUGUUACAUAUGAAGCACUAUAUAUAAGUUAAUCAGUAGAAGUUGGGUUUAGUUAUGUGUGUGAUCAAUGAUUGUUUGUUCACUUUUCUCACACAUGAGUGUGACAACUGUUAGCGUGAGUGUUAUCCAUCUUGAAACUGCACUAUGCUUUAUCAUUUGCGUGUCAUAUGGUUUGUGAUUCUUUUGAAGUAAAGGGAAGGAACAUUAUGAAAGCAUUUUCAACUUUCACUACUGAAAUUAUCGAUCACAAAUAAGUCUUUUCAAGAAGAAUACAAAAUCAAUUGUUGUGUUCCGUAUUUCUGAUAUGAUUUUGUAGGUAUGGUGCAAAGACAGCAGAGGCGACAAACAGACAAACGCAGCAGGGCAUGCUCUUAGAACGGAGUGGACAGUUUUCAAGAUCAGGAAAGCUCUCCCAAAGAGUGUGUUUAACUGAUGUAUAAAACCGCAAUUAAAACAGCAUCAUAAUAAAUAAAAAAGGGGAAUAGAGCUAUUUUUUAAUCAACCGAGAAAAAUAGUUAUAAGUGGAUGUUGUGUUGUUUGUACAUCAGUUUCAUUGCCUUGGUGCAAAAGCAAUACCAAUUUAAAAAAUUAGGGUUUUGGUUAUUGUUGUUGGGGCAUGUGUUUAGGCUUCUUUUAGAAUCAAUAGAUUUUUGCAAACAUAGAUACAAUUCUUAAUAUUGGGUAUGCUUGGUCAGUGAGAAUGAUCAUUUUUUUGUAUGUUAUGCUGCUGUGUUUAUAUAAUCUUUCCUUAAGUUGUGGUUAUUUCAAGGGAGAAUAGUUCGUUUAAUUUUUAUAACUAAAGGUUUUUCCAGAUCUUCAACUUAUACUCUGCAUAUAUGUAGUCAAAUAACAAAUUUUAGUGAAGGUGACAGUCUUACUGCUCCACCAGUAGAAAACGCUGGACACAAACUGCGAAACACCAGCCAAAAAAUUAACGAGUUAGAAAAAUUGGUUCUAUGUGACUUCUGUGAUGUUUUUUGUUUUGGAUUAAUAAAAGUUUAAUUUAGCAUCGCCGUAUCAGCAGCAUAAAGGCUGCUACACAGUAUGACCAUUUACCAAAUGGUGACUUCCCACGACAAAUGCGUGCCAAAAGGCCUCCCAAUAAAUAUUGCGAAAUCAGUCAUAAUCCAUCCAUUACACGGCCAGAGAUUGUGGCAGCUACUACUUCUACAUGAGACUAUAUCAUUCCAUUCUCUGAGUUUUUUUAUAUUGUAACCAAAGCUGAUAAGUGGAGCCCCUCCAAUAAUUAGAGAAAACGGCAAUAGCCAUCACAGCAGAGAUCGAUAUGGGGGGGAGUUAGGAAUAACAACUACGGGUGUGGUGGCUGAAAUUUUGGUGCGCCGUGAUCACAUGGUGGUUUGUGUCGAAGUGAGGAGACAAGAGGGAUAAUAAGGGAGACUGAGCAUGUGGUGGAUGAGAAGAUGACGCAGAGGAAAAUAAGAGGAGUCGCCGGAGACAUGUUUAAGGUCUCCUUCACCAUGUAGGCUCCCCCUUCACCAGAUCUCGAAGUAGAUUACUGCCAUCAGCACUAUCAUAACUCAUAAGUGCUCUGACAAUGUAAACCAAUAAGUUCCUUUGCCAAGUUGAAUUUUUUUAAGUCUUCUUAGAUGGUCUUAGACAAGGGCUUGCUGAAGUAGAGCAACCGUUGGACCUCUGAUUUUGUUGUCUUUCCAUAAACCAUUUCUGCAAAACUACUGUUCAAUUGUUUAUCAACUAAAAUAUCCAAUUUUUUUCCA